AGCAGCCGCGGUAAUUCCAGCUCCAAUAGCGUAUAUUAAAGUUGCUGCAGUUAAAAAGCUCGUAGUUGAAUUUCGGGACCAUCAUGUCGGUCGUGCCUCGGUACGUACUGGCAUUGUUGGUCUCUCCCUUCUGACGAACCAUGAUGUCAUUUAUUUGGUGUUGUGGGGAAUUUGGACUGUUACUUUGAAAAAAUUAGAGUGUUUAAAGCAAGCUAACGCUUGAAUACAUUAGCAUGGAAUAAUGAAAUAGGACGUUCGAUCCUAUUUUGUUGGUUUCUAGGAUUGACGUAAUGAUUAAUAGGGAUAGUUGGGGGCAUUAGUAUUCAAUUGUCAGAGGUGAAAUUCUUGGAUUUAUUGAAGACUAACUACUGCGAAAGCAUUUGCCAAGGAUGUUUUCAUUAAUCAAGAACGAAAGUUAGGGGAUCGAAGACGAUCAGAUACCGUCGUAGUCUUAACCAUAAACUAUGCCGACUAGGGAUCGGAUGAUGUUAAUUUUUAAUGUACUCAUUCGGC
rnacentral:rRNA from 1 species